rnacentral:rRNA from 1 species
GUGCCAGCCGCCGCGGUAAUACCGGCAGCCCGAGUGAUGGCCGAUUUUAUUGGGCCUAAAGCGUCCGUAGCUGGCCGCGCAAGUCCGUCGGGAAAUCCAUCAGCCCAACUGAUGGGCGUCCGGCGGAAACUGCACGGCUUGGGGCCGGAAGACCCGAGGGGUACGUCCGGGGUAGGAGUGAAAUCCCGUAAUCCUGGACGGACCGCCGAUGGCGAAAGCACGUCGCGAAGACGGAUCCGACAGUGAGGGACGAAAGCUAGGGUCUCGAACCGGAUUAGAUACCCUAGUAGUCC